rnacentral:lncRNA from 10 species
AUAUCCACUUCUCAGAGAAGUGGGACUUUACCAAGUUCAGUGUGGAUGAAUUUGAAGACAUGAUGGCUGAGAAGCAGCUUAUCCCAAUAACUGUGGGGUCAAGUAUACCCCCAAUCGUGACCCUCCGGACAAGCGGUGGGCCCUGCACUCAUGAGGGCUUCUACUGUGCUGCCCCCUCCUAAUGCCCACCAAUAAAUCCUACUUCCUGUCCACCUUAAAAAAAUGACAAAGUGUAGUCACCUCUUGAGAGUAAGAAUAGGGCUGGUGUGGAAGUGAGUUUUUACUUCUCACUGGACAUAUUCCAUGUUGGAAAACUGUUCUGAAGUGGGUAUCAUUUUUAUAACAUUUAAAUUUCAAAAAAUAUUUCACUGUGUGCCUAGUCUGUGCAAGGGGAGAAUGCAGAGGAGGGAGGCAUUAGAACCACACGUGAGGAACUCUGGAGUCCAGUGUGUUUGACUGCAGAAAGCCAUUACUUAUCAUGUUUGGCUAAUAAAUACUGUGUGAAGAUUACUUCUGAUGUGUAAUCUCUUAAUUACAGAUACACAAAAAAGGCCAGUCAUGAAUCACGCCAAAUUGGAAGCAACCAAGAUGUCCUUCAGCGUGUGAAUGGAUAAGCAAACUAUGGUGCAUUCAGGGGAAGAUGAGCAGGUGCGAGACAGGGAG